rnacentral:rRNA from 1 species
AUUGAACGCUGGCGGAAUGCUUUACACAUGCAAGUCGAGCGGCAGCGCGGGGCAACCUGGCGGCGAGCGGCGAACGGGUGAGUAAUGCAUCGGAACAUGUCCAUGUCGUGGGGGAUAGCCCGGCGAAAGCCGGAUUAAUACCGCAUGUGCCCGAGAGGGGAAAGUGGGGGACCGCAAGGCCUCACGCGAUUGGGUUGGCCGAUGUCCGAUUAGCUAGUUGGUGGGGUAAAGGCUCACCAAGGCGAUGAUCGGUAGCUGGUCUGAGAGGAUGAUCAGCCACACUGGGACUGAGACACGGCCCAGACUCCUACGGGAGGCAGCAGUGGGGAAUUUUGGACAAUGGGGGCAACCCUGAUCCAGCCAUUCCGCGUGAGUGAAGAAGGCCUUCGGGUUGUAAAGCUCUUUUGUCCGGAACGAAACGGUUAGGUUGAAUACGCCUGACUACUGACGGUACCGGAAGAAUAAGCACCGGCUAACUACGUGCCAGCAGCCGCGGUAAUAC